ACUGAAAUAUCCACUUUACAACAUGAGGGCUACUAAAACGUGCUAUGUGAUUCCGUAGUAUGUUAAUCUUGGUAAAAAGCAUUCUUUGGUGUUGUUAAAUACACUUCUGUCACACAUACGCUUUGGUGUGUGUGUUUUAGUUUUAGCAAAGCGGACUUCACUUCUUUGGGGUUUGUGUUUUGCCAAGCCACAUAGUGUCAUUUCAGGAAGUAUGAUUGACACUUUAACAACAGUAAAAACAUCCAGUCGCCUACUCCUCCAUGGGAGCUCUGCCUUGGGUCAAAUGGGGAGGCCGCCCCGCAUCGCUCGCCAUACGCAAGUUGAACCAGACAAAUAGGGAAAAGAAACCCAAAUGAUAGGGGUCCAAAAGAAAAGAAAAUACAUUGGGCGACAAUAACCCUAUCGUGUCUGGCGAUGCGUCCGGACAUGGUCUGCAGGUGGAUAAUGUGUUCAGUUUAAAUGAUAGCAUUGGAGAGGCCAUAAGGAUAUCAACCAUUUGGAUUUCACGACCACAUCCUCUUGGCCACACAUGUUAUCCUAGACGAAUAUUUAAUUUACAAAGUAAACUUCAUCACAUGCUAUUUCUUAUAAUUUUUAUUCGUUCUUUUGUAUUUUAUUAAUUCGGCCAACCUAUUAAUAAAGCUUCAGAAAGGCCGGUUGAACAUCUUAUGUUUAUGCCGAUAAUUCAUCAUUUUUUGGUAAUAUCUUUCUUUUAUAUAAUUUACAAAUUUAACAUGGAUUGACCUUUCUUGCUUAAUACCAAUGUUUUCCGUUUAAUAAGUAUGGUUGAUAGUACUAUUUCUCUUAUUUUCAAUCGAAAAGGCAGCACUAUAAAAUUUUCAUGAGAAAACAAAUGACAACACUAUUACUUAGGUAGGUGUUAAAUAAAUAGUAUUGCCUCAAUUUUGUAGCAGUAGAGACGAAGCCACGUUGAAAAAAGUGUGGUCAAUUGACCACACAGGUUUAUAGCAAAUCCUUUGUUCACAAAUAGAUAUCAUGUAUUACUUUUCAUAAAUUUAGUUAAAAACACAUGUACUUGACCGUAGAGAUUUAAAAUGACAUCACAGGCUUAUGAUCCUGGCACCGCCAUCGAGUAGAGUACAAUAAGCCCCUAAAGUCCCCAUACCAAAUGUAGCCACAUGAUAUACUAAUAUAUAUUAUUAGUUCAUAAAAUAUUGGUUGUACUAAUUGUUCACUUGUUUAUUUUUCUAAAGAAUGAUAUUUAACAGGAAAAGGAUAUAUGUGAUGUUAGCGGAAGGAAAUCUGGGAGUAACCAAGUUUGGUGGCCUUGCGAGACGAUAUUUAUUUUUCGCACGAGGACACAUUGCUGUUGCUCAUGGUUUGUGUGUCCUUGAUGCUGCAAAUUUCCCCGUGGUUCCUAGUCCCUGCGGUUGGGCCUCUCGCCACCGCAGUCCUCCGUCCUUCCACUAAAACAUGAACCGAACUCCAAGCGCAUUCUUUGGUGACUCAGCUUGCGACUAGACUAUCUGGGUUGCCACCGGCCAAGAAGGCAGGCGAGUGGGGAGGAGGCUUUACUGGCUCGAUUACUGGACUAGUGUUCUUGUUCAUGCCCCGAAAUUACAGUGUGAUGGGCUUAUAUACUGCCUCGUGUGGUGGUGGUGGUGUUGGGGUACGUCGCAUGGGAAACAAAAAAUUUCCUACGCGCACGAACACUAGUAGAAAACAGGGCAUUUAGCCAACCACAUUGGACCCGGAUUGGAUAUAAACCGGUUCUAAAGGGUCUGUCCGCUGGGCCCCCUCCCUGCAGCAAAUGGCCGCAAGGCCUUUAGGACCGGUUUGUAACACAAACCGGUCCUAAAGGUUUUUGGACCGUUUGCUGCAGGGAGGGGGCCCAGUGGACAGACCCUUUAGAACUGGUUUGUAUCACAAACCGGUGCUAGAGGUUUUCUCAUUUUUGCAGCAACUGCGGGGCCCCGCUGUCAGACCCUUUAGCACCGGUUUUUGUACACAAACCGGUCCUAAAGCCCUCCUCUCCUUCCUCCCCGAGCACCCCUAUAUUCCACCCCAUUUUUUCUAGCUCCAUUUUUUCUAGCUCGAGCUCAACUCCAUUUUUGCUCUCUCCUUCCUCUUGGGAGCUCUAAUCCAUCCCCAUUUUUCUCCACCAUUUGUCAAGAUUGUUGGCACCCAUCGGUCCUACGGUUAGCAUCAACAUUCCCUCUUCCGGUAUUGCAAGUUUUGCUCGUUUUCUUGCUCAUUUCAUUUUUGUUGUGCUAGCUAGGUGUUUGAUGAAAUGCCUAAGCUAGAGAGAGUUCAUCAUUUGUUAUGUAUACAUAUGCAAUUUGAGCUCAAAUUUAAUUAUGAUUUAUGGUUUUUUUUAGUGUCGCGCGCCUUGUCCCCUUCCUCACCGCCGUCGAUCGCCCCGUCACCGACACAACCUUGGUGAGCCUAUUGUUUUUAUUUACCAAAACAAAUUUUGAUUUGUAUGAUUUACAUAUUUACUUGUAUAUAAUUUUCUUAUUGUGUAAGAUUUUUUUAUAUGUAUAGCGCCAUGGUUUUGAUAUCCGUCCCCGUUGGCCCUCGUCCAGUCUAUGAUUCGGAUGUGGUAUAUUAUCUUUUAUAACUACAUAUUUUCAUUUCCUGAUUAUAUGACAAUUAAUUACGCUGACCAACUUGACAUAGAUAUUUUUAUCUAGGAGGUAGUGGAACCGGAAACGCCAAUCGACCCUAUUGUUGAGAAGUUACACUUAGUUGAACAAGAAAAUGUUGGCCUGAAAGAAAGAUUGAAAAAAACUGAAGAAAGGUUGGAAAAAACUGAAAGAGAGAAGAUGACCUUGGAAAAGGUUCUUACCGGUGUCGUCGAUGGUCACAAGAGCGAGAUGGACGCAAUGCGUGUGAAGAUUAGAAAGAUUAGAAAAUAUGCAAUUAGUAAAGAGGCUUGGUAUCAUUAUGCCGUCGGGUCAAUUGUUACCUUUGUUGCGAUUUUGAUCGCAUUUGUUGUUGUUUUUAAAUGCAUUAAUUAGAGAGAGUUUUUAUGGUUGGUUUCAGUGUGUGUUUUUAUGAGAACUAUAUAUGUAUGGUCACUACGCUACUUUGGUUUUAACGUGUGAUGAACUUUGUAUUAAUUAAUUAAUUUAGUCAUGAUGAUUUAGCAUAAUGGUUUUUGAUAAAUUUAUAUAAUGCAGAUGAACCGGCAAUGGAUGUACAGUGAUCGACGUCGUCCCGAAUUCCUUAAUAGCAUCCAUAGUUUUCUCAAUGUGGCUGAGAAAAACAGGCAGAAUGGAUUUAUUUUUUGUCCAUGUAAAAAAUGCCAGAAUAAGAGGAAUUUCCCUAACUCAAGAACCAUACACACCCACCUGUUGCAAGAAGGCUUCAUGCCAAGUUAUUUUUGUUGGACCAAGGACGGAGAAAGAGGGGUUGUAAUGGAAGACAAUGAAGAAGAAGAGGAUAAUGAUAACUAUCCUAUGUUCGGUGAACACGGUGAUACUGAAAUGGGGGAAGACGAGCCUGAACUUGAGGACAUUGUUGAUGAGUCUAAUGAUGAUCUUCGUCAGGUCAUUCGUGAAGAACAGAUAAACUGCGGAAGUGAAAACGAGAGGUUGAAGUUGGAGCGCAUGUUAGAAGAUCACAAAAAAUUGUUGUACCCAAAUUGCGAAGAUGGCCAGAAAAAGCUGGGCACCACCCUGGAAUUGCUGCAAUGGAAGGCAGAGAAUGGAAUAUCUCACAAGGGAUUUGAAAAGCUGCUGAAAAUAAUGAAGAAGAUGCUUCCAAGAGAUAACGUGCUGCCCUGCAGUACGUACGAAGCAAAGAAGGUUGUCUGCCCUCUAGGAUUGGAAGUGCAUAAGAUACAUGCAUGCAUCAAUGACUGCAUCCUCUACCGCGGUCAUCACGAGAAUUUAAAUGCCUGUCCGGUAUGCGGUGCAUUUCGGUAUAAGAUCAGGCGAGAUGACCUUGGUGAUGUUGAGGGCGACGACCGCCCCAGGAAGAGGGUUCCUGCCAAGGUGAUGUGGCAUGCUCCUAUAAUACCACGGUUGAAACGUUUGUUCCGAAACAAAGAGCAUGCCAAGUUGCUGCGAUGGCACAAAGAAGACCGAAGGGAAGACGAUAUGCUGAGACAACCCGCUGAUGGGUCGCAGUGGAGAAACAUCGACGAUAAGUACGAGGACUUUGCACGUGACCCAAGAAACUUAAGGUUUGGUCUAAGUACAUAUGGCCUGAAUCCGUUUGGGGAGCAGAGUAGCAGUCAUAGCACCUGGCCCGUGACUCUAUGUAUCUAUAACCUUCCUCCUUGGUUAUGCAUGAAGCGUAAGUUCAUUAUGAUGCCAGUGCUUAUCCCAGGCCCGUCGCAACCCGGCAACAACAUUGAUGUGUACCUGAGGCCACUGGUUGAUGAACUUUUAGAGUUAUGGGCUGACGAAGGUGUACGUGUGUGGGACGAGUACAAACAGGAGGAAUUUGACCUACGAGGGUUGCUGUUUGUAACCAUCAAUGAUUGGUCCGCUCUUAGUAACAUCUCAGGACAGUCAAACAAGGGAUACAGCGCAUGCACACACUGUUUAGGCGAGACUGAAAGUAUACAUAUAGGCAAGAAUGUGUACCCGGGGCAUCGUCGAUUUCUUCCAGACAGGCAUCCCGUAAGAAAGAAAGGAAAGCAUUUCAAAGGCGAGGCAGAUACACGGAGGAAGCCAACCCUCCCUAAAGGUACUGAUAUAUAUGACAUGGUCAAAGAUAUAAAAGUAAUCUUUGGUAAGGGUCCUGGCGCACAAUCUGUUCCGAAUGACGCCGACAACCACGUAGCCAUGUGGAAGAAGAAAUCUAUAUUCUGGGAACUACCCUAUUGGAAAUUCCUAGAGGUUCGCUCUGCGAUCGACGUGAUGCACGUGACGAAAAAUAUUUGCGUGAACCUGCUAAACUUAUUGGGCGUGCAUGGGAAGAAGUCGAGAGAUACACCAAAAGCACGGCUGCACCACCAACGUAUGCACGAACGAGACGACCUGAUGAAUCGAGUGAAUUUCAAAGGUCCUGCCAGCUACGCUCUUACCAAGGAAGAGAAGGAGAUCUUUUUCCAAGUCCUGAGCAGUAUCAAGGUCCCGUCUGGCUACUCGUCGAACAUAAAAGGAAUACUAAACCUGGAAGAGAAAAAGUUCCAAAACCUAAAGUCUCAUGACUGCCACGUGAUCAUGACCCAGUUACUUCCGAUUGCAUUGAGGGGGCUUCUUCCAGAAAACGUGCGAGUACCCAUUGUGAAGCUAUGUGCAUUCCUCAACGCAAUUUCUCAGAAGGCAAUCGAUCCAGCAACUCUACCAAGUUUACAGAAGGACGUGGUCCAAUGUCUUGUCAGCUUCGAGUUGGUGUUCCCACCAACCUUCUUCAAUAUUAUGACACACCUCAUAGUUCACCUAGUCCAAGAGAUUUCCGUUCUCGGUCCUGUAUUCUUACACAAUAUGUUCCCCUUUGAGAGGUUCACGGGAGUCUUGAAGAAUUAUGUUAAAAACCGUGCUAGGCCAGAAGGAAGCAUGGUCAAGGGCUAUGGAACAGAGGAGGUCAUUGAGUUUUGUGUUGACUUUAUUCCUGACCUGAACCCGAUCGGUGUUCCUCAGUCGCGCCAUGAGGGGAGACUGCGUGGAAAAGGCAUGCUAGGAAAGAAAUCAAUAACAUGUAUGGACGAGCAAUCUUUCACUCAAGCACACUACACAGUUCUAGUUAAUUCCAGCUUGGCGGCUCCAUAUAUCCAGGAACACAAGGAUAUUUUAUGCUCGGAAUACCCGGAGCAACCUGAAGAUUUCAUUGCUAAAGAACACGCGAAGACUUUCGGCGGUUGGUUGCAAAGACGUCUCAUUAAUGACAACAUUGUUGAAGAUGAGCUAUACUUGUUGGCCAAGCAACCAUCUUCGACUGUAUUGACCUUUAAAGGGUACGAGAUAAAUGGUAACACAUUUUACACGGCAGACCAAGAUAAAAAGAGCACCAACCAAAACAGUGGCGUCCGGUUUGAUGCAAAAGACGACAAUGGGCAAAGGGUCACAUACUAUGGUUACAUAGAGCAGAUAUGGGAACUUGACUACGGACCUUCCUUUAAGGUCCCUUUGUUCUGGUGCAAAUGGUUCAACCUGUCAGGCGUGAAGGUAGACCCGAAGUACGGAAUGACAACAGUGGAUCAGAAGAAUCUUGGGUACGGCAAUGAUCAAUUCGUCCUAGCCAAUGAUGUGGCUCAGGUUUUCUAUGUGAAGGACAUGUCUAGCAGACCGAGAAAAAGAAAAGAUAAGGAAGCGAAUACAUCAGACGAUGAGCCAAGGCGCCACAUAGUUCUUUCAGGGAAAAGAAACAUCGUGGGAGUCGAGGACAAGACAGACAUGUCAGAAGAUUACAAUAAAUUUGAUGAAAUUCCUCCCUUCAAAGUCAAAGAUGAUCCAAGCAUCCCGUUAAAUGAUGAAGAUAGUCCAUGGUUACGGCGCAAUCAGAAGAAAGGCAAGAAGAAAAAUAGAUAGGGGAUGUUGUUGGUGAUGUGUAAUAAUGUAUUAAACCUUUUAUGUAAUUGUGUUGACCAUUUUAAUAAAUAUUAAAAAUUUGACCAGUUUCCACUAAAUUUGACCAUUUUGAUAAAUAUCAUUUUUAUUUUUUAAGUGUAAAAAUGACAUUUUGACAAUUUGUAAAUAAAUGUAAAAGAAAAACAGAAAAGGGAAACAAAAAAGAAAAAUAAAAGAAGAAACAGGAAAAAGAAAAAGGAAACAAAAAGAAAAAGAAAAUAGGAAACAGAAAAAAGGAAAAAAGAAAAAUAAAAGAAGAAACAGGAAAAAGAAAAAGGAAACAAAAAGAAAAAGAAAACAGGAAACAGAAAAAAGGAAAAAAGAAAAAUAAAAGAAGAAACAGGAAAAAGAAAAAGGAAACAAAAAGAAAAAGAAAACAGGAAACAAAAAAAAGGAAAAAAGAAAAAGGAAAAAAACCUUUAGGAACCGGUGUGUAACAACAUCCGGUCCUAAAGGUGGGUUCGGUUCGCGCCCGAAUUUUGGACCCUUUAGCACCGGUCUGUGUUAACAACCGGUGCUAAAGGGUCUUUAGCACCGGUUGUUAACACAGACCGGUGCUAAAGUGUCUAUACCUCUACGGGGUCGCCAACUUCUCGCCUUCCCGCGCGUCUCUCCUCGCCUUUUCUCCUCGCCGCCUCCUCGCCGCCGUCGCCUCCUCGUGCCGCCUCGUCGGCCGAUCCUCGCCGCCUCCUCGCCGCCUCCGCGCCGCCUCCUUGCCGUCGCCGCCUCGCUGUCGCCUCCUCGCCGUCGCCUCCGCGCCGCCUCCUCGCCGUCGCCUCCUCGCCGCCUCCGCGCCGCCUACUCGCCGUCGCCUCCUCGCGCCGCCUCGCCGCCUCCUCGCCGCCUCCGCGCCACCUCCUCGCCGUCGCCUCCUCGUGCCGCCUCGCCGGCCGAUCCUCGCCGCCUCCUCGCCGCAUCCUCGCCGCCUCCUCGCCGUCGCCUCCUCGCCGUCGCCUCCUCGCCGCGCCGUCGCCUCCUCGCCGGCCGAUCCUCGCGCGCCUCCUCGCCGCCGCCGCCUCCUCACCGCCGUCGCCUCCUCGCGCCUCCUCGUCGCCUCCUCGCCGCCUCCCCACUUCGUCUUCUUCACGUACGGUAUAUCGUCCAUAUUUUCGUAUAUCCAUAUUGUUGUAUGCUUGUAAUCAUAACGGCUCGAUUUAUAUUUUGUUGGCUGCUAUUUCAUAUAUCCAUAUUGUUGUAUGCUUGUAAUCAUAACGGCUCGAUUUGAAGCCGCCUUCAUCAUUUAUGUCGUUAAAGCGAGGAAGACGAUUCUAGUAGACUCACUUUUUCAGUCAACAUUCAAAACUUUCCGACGUACAAAUCCUAUAGACGAAGUCGGUCAACAUUCGUGCAACGUGAGGUGACUCCGACGAUUCCGUAAAACCCUAAACCGACGAUUCCGACGAUUCCGACGAUUCUGACGAUUCCGUAAAACCCUAAACCGACGAUUCCGACGAUUUCGUAAAACUUUCCGACGAUUACAAUUCUGUAAAACUUUCCUACGAUUCCGACGAUUCCAUAACUGCGGGGAAAGUUUCCGACGAUUCCGACGAUUCCGUAAAACUUUCCGACGAUUCCGUAAAACUUUGCGACGAUUACGACUCCGACGAUUCCGUAAAACUUUUCGUAAAAUUUCCGGUUCCGUAAAACUUUUCCGUAAAUAAUUUUGCUAAGUUAAAUUCUUGUUACUAGCAGGUGUUGAGCUAUGGAUCCCCAAGAACCACAUGAUCAGCACGCCGAUCAGCUCGCGGGAAUGGGUGAGGCGGAGAAGGAAAGAUACAUGUGCCAGAUGAUUUUUGAAGAUGCAACGGCCAUAUAUCAUGAUGACGACGGUGGGCAUGCGUUUAGCAAUCAAUUUUUGAACGACUCCGGUGACGGAGCUGAGAAUAUAGAAGAUGUAGUAGAUGCAGAAGUGCCCUCCGGAACAAACUCUGCCAAUGUAUAUCUCAAGUCACUGUUGACGCAACAAUUAAUGGGUAUUGCACUUACUAACGAAUCAUUAUUUUCCCGUUUAGGUGCCCUCCGGAACACCUAGCGCAGGUACUGAGACAAAGUCGAAACGAGGCCCGGCCGCAAGGUUGAAAGAUACUGCAAGGUACUCGAUCGAUAAAGUUGCUGCUGAUGGCAAACCACUGGAACCCCCAGAAACUUAUCGCAAAUUUGUAAAUCAGUGCGGAUUUGUUGUAAGAGACCUGGUCCCGAUCAACUUAAUAAAAUGGAAUAAGCCGAAGACCGGCGCCAACGUUGGAGCUACUUAUGUCGAUGACAGAUUGAAAAGAGUGCUUUGCGACACGGUCUGGCUAAAUUUCAGCGUAGCGGAAGAUAAGAAGAAGAAAGUCGAGGAGUGGCCUUUGAAGAAGAUGGCCACACAAUUCCAGAGGUGGAAGAAAGACUUGUGGAAGAAAUAUAAGGACGAAGAUCCAGUUUUCACUGGGCACCUAGUGAAGAUAAGAGACGCUUGGCCUGAUUUUAAGGCGUACAAGAAAUCAGGUGUCUUUACAUCCCGAUCAGCCACAAAUACGAAGAAUGCGAAGAAGAAGAAAUAUCACCAUAUUUUGGGGUCAGGUGGCUACAUGACUGCCCUGCCUAGGUGGCGACGCUAUGAAGAUGCGCCUCUGAAAAGAAAUAUCAUUCCACAGACACAUGACUGGCCCGAUAGGUCCAAGUUCUGGUUGUUCGCGCAUGGGGCAACAUUGGACGCUGAGACUGGGAUGAUUGUUGCGGAGGGACCAUGGUCGGAAAAAAUAAGACAAGUCGUAUCAGAUCUAGAGAAGGCAAUAGAAGCUGUUCAAAAAGGAACUUUUGUUCCCGAUAGAGAGAACGACGAGUUGACGAAGGCACUCGGGAACCCCGAAAAGUGGGGACGAACACGAGGCUUUCGAGCCACUACCCCGUGGAACCAAGGGUUUCCGGCGGACCUUGGCACUUACAGAAGCCGUGGUAGAAGCAAGAGGAAGGCGCUGGAACGGAUAUCGACAUUAGAAGAAAAGGUGGCGUUUCUCUUGAAGAAAGGGGGACACCCUGUACCUGACACUGAAGAGGAGGAAGAAGAUCCUGCACCUGACGCUGAUCAGCAGCAAUUAGAAGACGAUCCUGUAGCAGAUGCCGUCCCAUCUCAGCAUAGAAGCAGCGUGGGUUCCACGCAGCUGCAGCUAGAAGACGGUCCUGCAGUCGAACCGUCGGCGCCUCACUACCCCGUGGAUGAUGUCACGGAGAAGACAAACUGUGAGAUACAUAUGCCAAUGGGGAACAUAUCCUUCAUGGUGGCGUCAGGCUAUGCUUUACCGAAUCAACCUGGAGCAACCUACCAUGGUGGUCAGAUUCCAGCAUCCCAUGCUCGUGUCGGGUUGUCAACAAUUACGCCGGGAUGCCAGUCAAUUGAGCUUGAUAUUCCUGGAGGUGAAGGCGAGAAGACACUGGGAGAAAUGGAGCUUGGUAUCAUCUUGUGGAAGAAGAAACACAUCGUGUUUCCUAACGCGGCGCCAAGGCCACCGACUCCUCCAGGUACAAAUGCACCACCUCCAACAAUUACUGAAUGUUGCACCACAUGUAAGCCUAUUUUUAAUAGUUUUUUCACUUUCGUACACAGAAUGCACGACCUCCAAGUCCACCCCCCAACGCACCUCCAAGUCCACCCCACAACGAAGAUAGGGAGCCCGAGGCCGAGAGUCCAUCGCCCGUGCACUCCAGUGAGCCGACGGAUGCGCCCACUACGGGUACGGCAAAGCGGAAGCUGCAGUUCACAAGAAACGGGACUCCUCCCAAGAAGAGAGAAAGGAAACCCAAUAAAGUCAAGACUCCCCCGAAGUUACCAGGCCUGAUGACUCCGGAGGAACUAGACGAGGCCGUGAAAGCCAAAAACAAAGCAUGGUUCGCACGGUUUCCCCGGAAGCCCCCUCCAGACAUCUGGAAGGAAACUCUGAAGAACGUACCAAAGUGGAAAAUUGAGCGCACCAUCGACAACUUAUAUUAUCCUGAACCGCCGCCACCGCCGCCCCUUUCAGACUAUGAACGGUUCAUUGAAAAGAUGCACACCGCACAGAUGAAGCAGGCGGAGCAGAUGAAGCAGGCGGAGCAGACGAAAUGCGGGAAACAAGUUCCCCAGCUCGGACAACAAGAAGCACAGUCAAUUGCCCCGCUCAAGGUGUUAUCUGACCAGGCUUCAGUGUCCGGUCCACGCAUGGGCGACGUAGGUUACGCUAUUGCUGAUGUGGUAUAUAAAUAUAAGCCCGAGCACCCUCUGGUCGAAAAUCCUAGUGCUCUAACAACCCAACUAUGGAAUUUACAUGGUUGGUACUUGGAGGCCGCAAGGCAAAAGAGAGACUGUAUCAUGGCGGCAGUUCAGGAUCAACACUACUUCGGAGAGUACGGUGUGGAGGUUGGGUUCGAUGAUUUUUUUCCAGAUGUACAAUCAACGUGCCCUCGACAAAGCUAUCGUCAGCUGCUACUUUUUGUAAGUGAUUUAUUUGUGUAAUUUAAUUAUUUAGUUAAGCUCGCGUUCAUUGCCCGUAUAAUUAUCACUCACGAGACAUUCUUUUUGUACGCUACUAUGCAGAAUGAAGAUUCGUGAAUGCAGGCUGGCAGGAAUCUGGGACUUUGGGUUCAUUGACCCGUAUUCGUUUCAUCAAGAGACAAUAGAAAAGUUCAACAAGGAUACACCGGAUGAUUUGCUAAGGUUUUUGAAGCGACAAAGUACCAAAAAAGAAAUACUUUGGCCCUACGCAUUCAAGUGAGUGUUACUGUCUUGUACACAUUCCAUUUUGCUUACCUGAUGUUAAGUAUAAUUGAUGAGUAUGCAUGACUGCGUGUGUACACGUGCGCAGGUCCCACUUCAUAUUUUUCAUCAUUAGAAUCGAUCAAGGACAAGUUGAAGUCUGGGACCCGUUAACCUGGGACGCUGACAAAUGGAAGAGCGCGCGUCAGAUGCUUCAAAGGUAUAUAUAUAUCGGCCUCUUUCGUUCAUCGGCCUCUUUUUCGUUCAUUUCCUGAUAUCAAGUAAGUAAUAAUUAACUCUUGUAUUUAUUUUUCUUUGUCGGCCAGGGUUUGGCAAAUGUUCAUCAAGGAAGAACCCGGUACAUGGGCAGACAAGAUCCACUUUCAGAUUAACAAAGUAAGUAGUACUACGUACCCUGGUUUCAAUACCAUUACCAUUCUCUUGAUUAUUAUUAAUUUGACUGAAUUAUGUUCUCGUAUAUAGGGCGUCCCGCAACAACCACAGGGCACUGAUUAUUGUGGAUACUACGUUUGCGAGUACAUUCACUGGAUUAUCAAUGAAAAUCCCGUACUUCCAGAAAUAUAGAGGUACGUAACCGGAUCUUCACAACUUUAUUUAUGUUGCCAUCAAUUAUGUUAGUUUUGUUCAUAACUUAAUUGUUUUCAUCUACUUCUUUUAAAGCUGCAACGAAAGCGGACGAUGCUAAGACCAAUCCAACGUUGCAAGGCAGUUGCAGAGGAAUUGGCAGGAUUUCUCCUCACGCAAGUCAUAGAUGAAGGCGGAGAAUUUUUCCAUCCUAUGAACCAAUAGCCAGCUCCCUUCUCUAUGCAAGUAUAGAGCUAUAGGAAACGAACUUCAAAUUAUGUAAUGAUAAUCGGUCCAGUACUUAGUGUUACAUGUAUAUAUGUACUUUUAUUUGGUGCAUCAACAUUUAACCGCAAACACAGAAUCGGAAACACUUAACCGCAAACACGGAAUCGGUGUUUCCGAAUACGUGUUUCCGAUUCCGUGUUCGUAAAAAACAGAACACGGACACACGGAAUCGGAAAGACGUAAACGGAAAUACGGAACCGGAAACACGGAAUCGAAAAGACGUAAACGGAAAUACGGAACCGGAAACACGUAAACGAAAACCCUGAAAAUACGGAACACGGGAACACCGAAAUACGGAAUCGGAAACCCUGAAAAGAAAAGAAAAAAAAAGAAAAAAAAAGCAUUAGGACCGGUNGAAGACCUAUCAUGGUGAUGUCCAUCUACGAGAGGGGAUGUGUGAUCUACGUACCCUUGUAGACCGUACAGCAGAAGCGUUAGUGAACGCGGUUGAUGUAGUGGAACGUCUUCACGUCCCUCGAUCCGCCCCGCGAACAGUCCCACGAUCUAGUGCCGAACGGACGGCACCUCCGCGUUCAGCACACACACAGCUCGACGGUGAUCUCGGCCUUCAUGAUCCAGCAAGAGAGACGGAGAGGUAGAAGAGUUCUCCGGCAGCGUGACGGCGCUCCGGAGGUUGGUGAUGAUCUUGUCUCAGCAGGGCUCCGCCCGAGCUCCGCAGAAACGCGAUCUAGAGGUGAAACCGUGGAGAUAUGUCGUCGGGCUGCCGUGGCAAAGUUCUCUCAAAUCAGCCCUAAAAACCCCACUAUAUAUAGGAGGAGGAGGGGGGAGACUUGCCUUGGGGUCCAAGGACUCCCAAGGGAGUCGGCCGAGCCAAGGGGGAAGGUCUCCCCCUCCCAAACCGAAAUCUACUUGGUUUGGAAGGUGGAGUCCUUCUUCCCUUUCCCACCUCCUUCUUUUUUUUUCCUUUCCUCUUUGAUUUUCUUUCCUAUGCGCAUAGGCCUCUCUUGGGCUGUCUCACCAGCCCACUAAGGGCUGGUGCGGCACCCCAAACACCCAUGGGCUUCCACGGGGUGGGUGGGCCCCCCCGGUGAACUCCCGGAACCCAUUCGUCAUUCCCGGUACAUUCCCGGUAACUCCGAAAACCUUCCGGUAAUCAAAUGAGGUCAUCCUAUAUAUCAAUCUUCGUUUCCGGACCAUUCUGGAAACCCUCGUGACGUCCGUGAUCUCAUCCGGGACUCCGAACAACAUUCGGUAACCAACCAUAUAACUCAAAUACGCAUAAAACAACGUCGAACCUUAAGUGUGCAGACCCUGCGGGUUCAAGAACUAUGUAGACAUGACCCGAGAGACUCCUCGGUCAAUAUCCAACAGCGGGACCUGGAUGCCCAUAUUGGAUCCUACAUAUUCUACGAAGAUCUUAUCGUUUGAACCUUAGUGCCAAGGAUUCAUAUAAUCCCGUAUGUCAUUCCCUUUGUCCUUCGGUAUGUUACUUGCCCGAGAUUCGAUCGUCAGUAUCCGCAUACCUAUUUCAAUCUCGUUUACCGGCAAGUCUCUUUACUCGUUCCGUAAUACAAGAUCCCGCAACUUACACUAAGUCACGUUGCUUGCAAGGCUUGUGUGUGAUGUUGUAUUAUCGAGUGGGCCCCGAGAUACCUCUCCGUCACACGGAGUGACAAAUCCCAGUCUUGAUCCAUACUAACUCAACGAACACCUUUGGAGAUACCUGUAGAGCAUCUUUAUAGUCACCCAGUUACGUUGCGACGUUUGAUACACACAAAGCAUUCCUCCGGUGUCCGUGAGUUAUAUGAUCUCAUGGUCAUAGGAACAAAUACUUGACACGCAGAAAACAAUAGCAACAAAAUGACACGAUCAACAUGCUACGUCUAUUAGUUUGGGUCUAGUCCAUCACAUGAUUCUCCUAAUGAUGUGAUCCCGUUAUCAAGUGACAACACUUGCCUAUGGCCAGGAAACCUUGACCAUCUUUGAUCAACGAGCUAGUCAACUAGAGGCUUACUAGGGACAGUGUUUUGUCUAUGUAUCCACACAAGUAUUGUGUUUCCAAUCAAUACAAUUAUAGCAUGGAUAAUAAACGAUUAUCAUGAACUAAGAAAUAUAAUAAUAACUAAUUUAUUAUUGCCUCUAGGGCAUAUUUCCAACGGUCCCCCACUUGCACUAGAGUCAAUAAUCUAGUUCACAUCACCAUGUGAUUUAAACGAAUCCAACACCCAUAUAGUUCUGGGGUCAGGUCACGUCUUGCUCGUGAGAGAGGUUUUAGUCAACGGUUCUGAAACUUUCAGAUCCGUGCGUUCUUUACAAAUCUUUAUGUCAUCUUAUAGAUGCUGCUACUACGUGCUAUUCGGAAAUGCUCCAAAUAUCUACUCUACUAUACGAAUCCGUUUCACUACUCAUAGUUAUUCGGAUUAGUGUCAAAGCUUGCAUCAACGUAACCCUUUACGACGAACUCUUUAACCACCUCCAUAAUCGAGAAAAAUUCCUUAGUCCAUUAGUUACUAAGGAUAAAUUUUGACCGCUGCUAGUGAUUCAAUCAUGGAUCACUCUCUGUACCUCUCAACAGACUUUGAGUCGAGGCACACAUCAGGUGUGGUACACAGCAUGACAUACUUUAGAUUCUACGGCUAAGGCAUAGAAGACGACCUUCGUCUAUCCUCUUUAUUCUGCCGUGGUCGUGUUUUGAGCCUUACUCAAAUUUACACCUCACAAUGCAACCAAGAACUCUUUCUUUGCUGAUCUAUUUUGAACUCCUUCAAAAACUUGUCAAGGCAUGCAUCUUAUUGAAACUUUCAUUAAGCGCUUUUUGAUCUAUCUCCAUAGAUCUUUGAUGCUCAACGUUCAAGUAGAGCAAUCCAGGUAUUCCUUUGAAAAACUCCUUUCAAACAACCUUGUAUGCUUUACAUAAAUUCUACAUUACUUCUGAUCCACAAUAUGUUAACCACAUAUACUUAUCAGAAAUUCUAUAGUGCUCCCACGCACUUCUUUGGAAAUACAAGUUUCUCAUAAACCUUGUACAAACCCAAAAUCUUUGAUCAUCUCAUCAAAGUGUAUAUUCCAACUCCGAUAUGCUUGCACCAGUCCAUUGAAGGAUCGCUGGAUCUUGCAUACUUGCUAGUAUCUUUAGGAUCGACAAAACCUUCUGGUUGUAUCACAUACAAUGUUUGCUCAAGGAAACCGUCGAGGAAACAAUGUUUUGACAUCCUACAUGCAAUAUUUCAUAAAUAAUGCAUCAACAACUAACAUAAUUCUAACAGACCUUUAGCAUCGCUACGAGUGAGAAAGUCUCAUCAUAGUCAACUGUUUGAUCUUGUCCAAAACAUCUUUGCGACAAGUCGAGCUUUUCUUAAUAGUGACUUAUCACCAUCAUCGUCUGUCUUCUUUUAAAGAUCCAUUUUACUCAAUAGUCCUAUGACCAUCAAGUAGUUCUACCAAAGUCUACACUUUGUUUUCACACAUGGAUCCUCUCUCGGAUUUCAUGGCUUCUAGCCAUUUGUCGGAAUCUGGGCCCACCAUCGCUUUCUCCAUAACUCGUAGGUCCACUGUUGCUCAACAACAUGACCUCCAAGACAGGGUUAUCGUACCACUCUGUAGUAGUACGCGACCUUGUCAACCUACGGGGCUUGUAGUAACUUGAUCCGAUGCUUGAUGAUCACCAUCAUCAGCUUCCACUUCAAUUGGUGUAGGCGCCACAGGAACAACUUCCUGCGCCCUGCUACACACUGGUUGAAGUGAUGGUUCAGUAACCUCAUCAAGUUCUACUACCCUCCCACUCAAUUCUUUCGAGAGAAACCUUUCCUCGAGAAAGGAUCCGUUUCUAGAAACAAACACUUUGCUUUCGGAUUCGAGAUAGGAGAUGUACCCAACUGUUUUGGAUAUCCUGUGAAGAUGCAUUUAUCCGCUUUGGGUUCGAGCUUAUCAGACUGAAACUUUUUCACAUAAGUGUCGAAACCCCAAACUUUCAAGAAACGACAGUUUAGAUUUCUCUAAACCUCAGUCUAUACCGUGUCAUCUCAACGGAAAUACGCGGUGCCCUAUUUAAAGUGAAUUCGGUUGUCUCUAAUGCAUAACCCAUAAACGAUAGUGGUAAUUCGAUAAGAGACAUCACAGCAUGCACCAUACCAAAUAGUGCAUGACUAUGACGUUCAGAUACAUCAUCACACUAUGAUGUUCCGGGUGGCAUGAACUGCGAAACAAUUUCCACAUUUGUCUUAAGUGCGUACCAAAACUCGUAACUCAGAUAUUCAUUUCUAUGAUCAUAUCGUAGACAGUUUAUCCUCUUGUUACGACGAACUUCACUCUGAAACGGAAUUGAACUUUUCAAUAUUUCAGACUAGUGAUUCAUUAAGUAAAUACUCCUGUAUCUACUCAAAUCGUCAAUGAAGUAAGAACAUAAUGAUAUCCACUGCGUGCCUCAGCACCCAUUGGACUGCAUACAUCAGAAUGUAUCACUUCCAACAAGUUACUAUCUUGUUUCAUCUCAAUGAAAACAAGGCCCUGCUCAUGUGGUAUGAUUUGCAUGUCACUAGUGAUUCAAAAACAAGUGAGUACAAAGAUCCAUCAGCAUGGAGCCUCUUCAUGCAAUUUAUACCAACAUGACUCAAGCGGCAGUGCCACAAGUAAGUGGUACUAUCAUCAUUAACUCGUAUCUUUUGGCACCAAUAUCAUGAACAUGUGUAACACUACGAUCGAGAUUCAAUAAACCAUGGAAGGUGAUUAUUCAAGAAAAUAGAGUAACCAUUAUUCUCUUUAAAUGAAUAAUCGUAUUGCAAUAAACACGAUCCAAUCAUGUUCAUGCUUAACGCAAGCACCAAAUAACAAUUAUUUAGGUUUAACACCAAUCCCGAUGGUAGAGGGAGCGUGCGACGUUUGAUCAUAUCAACCUUGGAAACACUUCCAACACGUAUCGUCACCUCGCCUUUAGCUAGUCUCCGUUUAUGCCGUAGCUUUCAUUUCGUGUUACUAAUCACUUAGCAACCGAACCGGUAUCCAAUACCCUUAUGCUACUAGGAGUACUAGUAAAGUACACAUCAACAUCAUGUAUAUCUAAUAUACUUCUCUUGACUUUUGCCAGCCUUCUUAUCUACCAAGUAUCUAGAGUUGCUCCGCCUCAGUGACUGUUCCCCUCAUUACAGAAGCACUUAGUCUCGCGUUUGGGUUUAAUCUUGGGUCUCUUCAUUAGUGCAGCAACUGUUUUGCCGUUUCAUGAAGUAUCCCUUCUAGCCCUUGCCUUUCUUGAAACUUAGUGGUUUUACAAACCAUCAACUAUUGAUGCUCCUUCUUGAUUUCUACUUUCGUAGUGUCAAACAUCGCGAAUCGCUCAAGGAUCAUUGUAUGUAUCCUUGAUAUGUUAUAGUUCAUCACGACGCUCUCACAGCUUGGUGGCAGUGACUUUGGAGAACUAUCACUAUCUCAUCUGGAAGCUUAACUCCCACUUGAUUCAAGCGAUUCUCGUACUCAGACAAUCUGAGCACACGCUCAACGAUUGAGCCUUUCUCCUUUACUUUGUGGACAAAGAAUCUUGUCGGAGGUCUCGUACCUCUUAACAAGGGCACAAGCAUGAAAUCACAAUUUCAUCUCUUUAGAACAUCACUUAUGUUCCGUGACGUUUUACAACGUUUUCGGCGCCUUGCUUCUAAGCCAUUAAGUAUUUUGCACUGAACUAUCGUGUAGUCAUCAGAAACGUGUAUGUCGGAUAACAUGAUUCUCCUAAUGACGUGAUCCCGUUAUCAAGUGACAACACUUGCCUAUGGCCAGGAAACCUUGACCAUCUUUGAUCAACGAGCUAGUCAACUAGAGGCUUACUAGGGACAGUGUUUUGUCUAUGUAUCCACACAAGUAUUGUGUUUCCAAUCAAUACAAUUAUAGCAUGGAUAAUAAAAGAUUAUCAUGAACUAAGAAAUAUAAUAAUAACUAAUUUAUUAUUGCCUCUAGGGCAUAUUUCCAACAGGUGGCAGUGACGAGCUCGUUCAUCGUCGUGUACACCAAGCACGAGAGCUUGAGCUUGGGCACAGUGGCUUCGCUGGUGGUGUGUCGGGGUCGUGCUCGCCCU
rnacentral:lncRNA from 1 species